rnacentral:rRNA from 1 species
UCGGGAAUAUUGCGCAAUGGAGGCAACUCUGACGCAGUGACGCCGCGUAUAGGAAGAAGGUUUUCGGAUUGUAAACUAUUGUCCACAGGGAAGAAAAAGACUGUACCUGUGAAGAAAGCUCCGGCUAACUACGUGCCAGCAGCCGCGGUAAUACGUAGGGAGCAAGCGUUAUCCGGAUUUAUUGGGUGUAAAGGGUGCGUAGACGGGAUAACAAGUUAGUUGUGAAAACCCUCGGCUCAACUGAGGAACUGCAACUAAAACUAUUAUUCUUGAGUGCAGGAGGGGAAAGUGGAAUUCCUAGUG